rnacentral:rRNA from 1 species
AUACGGAGGAUGCGAGCGUUAUCCGGAUUUAUUGGGUUUAAAGGGAGCGUAGGUGGGAUAUUAAGUCAGCUGUGAAAGUUUGGGGCUCAACCUUAAAAUUGCAGUUGAUACUGGUUUCCUUGAGUACGGUACAGGUGGGCGGAAUUCGUGGUGUAGCGGUGAAAUGCUUAGAUAUCACGAAGAACUCCGAUCGCGAAGGCAGCUCACCGGGCCGGAACUGACACUGAUGCUCGAAAGUGCGGGUAUCAAACAGGAUUAGAUACCCUGGUAGUCCACGCCGUAAACGAUGAUAACUCGCUGCUGGCGAUACAAUGUCAGUGGCUUAGCGAAAGCGUUAAGUAUUCCACCUGGGGAGUACGCCGGCAACGGUGAAACUCAAAGGAAUUGACGGGG